AGGAUCUACAAGUUUUUACAGUUAUUCGCGUUAUUUUCCAACUCUGUGAGGAAAUUCCUUGCAUCUCUGCGGUUGUUGUUGCGUUACUUUCUGAGCCAGAGCCAAAAAUCGAUUAUACAUUAAAAGCUGUUGGUGGAAGUUUAACAGCCAUUCCUGGACUUUCUGACCUGAUAGAUGUCAUACUCGCCUUCUCUUCAACAACCUGUAGUUGCUGGAUCUACACGUGACGCCAUGUCAGGGAACAACACUGUC